rnacentral:rRNA from 1 species
UACGGAGGAUCCAAGCGUUAUCCGGAUUUAUUGGGUUUAAAGGGUGCGUAGGCGGCCUAUUAAGUCAGGGGGUGAAAGACGGUAGCUUAACUAUCGCAGUGCCCUUGAUACUGAUGGGCUUGAAUAUACUAGAGGUAGGCGGAAUGUGACAAGUAGCGGUGAAAUGCAUAGAUAUGUCACAGAACACCAAUUGCGAAGGCAGCUUACUAUGGUAUUAUUGACGCUGAGGCACGAAAGCGUGGGGAGUCAAACAGG